rnacentral:rRNA from 1 species
GUGUCAGCAGCCGCGGUAAUACAGAGGUGGCAAGCGUUGUUCGGAAUUACUGGGCGUAAAGCGCGUGUAGGCGGCUCUUCAAGUCAGGCGUGAAAGCCCCGGGCUCAACUCGGGAACUGCGCUUGAUACUGUCGAGCUAGAGUGUGGAAGGGGCGAUUGGAAUUCCGUGUGUAGCGGUGAAAUGCGUAGAUAUACGGAGGAACACCAGAGGCGAAGGCGGAUCGCUGGGCCAACACUGACGCUGAGACGCGAAAGCUAGGGUAGCAAACGGGAUUAGAAACCCCCGUAGUCC